GAGGGGGAUAACACUUGGAAACAGGUGCUAAUACCGCAUAACCAUAGUUACCGCAUGGUAACUAUGUAAAAGGUGGCUAUGCUACCGCUUUUGGAUGGGCCCGCGACGCAUUAGCUAGUUGGUGGGGUAAAGGCUUACCAAGGCAAUGAUGCGUAGCCGAACUGAGAGGUUGAUCGGCCACAUUGGGACUGAGACACGGCCCAAACUCCUACGGGAGGCAGCAGUAGGGAAUCUUCCACAAUGGGCGAAAGCCUGAUGGAGCAACGCCGCGUGGGUGAAGAAGGUCUUCGGAUCGUAAAACCCUGUUGUUAGAGAAGAAAGUGCGUGAGAGUAACUGUUCACGUUUCGACGGUAUCUAACCAGAAAGCCACGGCUAACUACGUGCCAGCAGCCGCGGUAAUACGUAGGUGGCAAGCGUUAUCCGGAUUUAUUGGGCGUAAAGAGAACGCAGGCGGUCUUUUAAGUCUGAUGUGAAAGCCUUCGGCUUAACCGGAGUAGUGCAUUGGAAACUGGGAGACUUGAGUGCAGAAGAGGAGAGUGGAACUCCAUGUGUAGCGGUGAAAUGCGUAGAUAUAUGGAAGAACACCAGUGGCGAAAGCGGCUCUCUGGUCUGUAACUGACGCUGAGGUUCGAAAGCGUGGGUAGCAAACAGGAUUAGAUACCCUGGUAGUCCACGCCGUAAACGAUGAAUACGAAGUGUUGGAGGGUUUCCGCCCUUCAGUGCUGCAG
rnacentral:rRNA from 1 species